GGAGCACAGCUGUGUGAUGGAGGCUCAGUCUCUGCCAGCUGUCUGGUGCGCAGAAACUGCCUGUGUCUGCCUUUGCGGCUUUUGGGAGCCUGAGUGCCUCUCUCAGAUGGAUUCCUCACACUGAGUUGGAACAAAUGUUCUGAAGUGUCAGUGGAUGAUGGUGAGAUACAUUUGGGAAUACACACCACAAUACGCAAGGGUCCAUGAACAUCAGGAUAAAUGAAAUCCCCAGGUACUGGAGUUACAGAAAAUGGAUGUGAGCUGUGAUUUGGGUGUUAGAAAUCAAACUCAAGUCUUCUGCACUGAUGACCAUUUCUU